GCACUCUUGCAAUUAAUUGGAACUCGGAGGAACGAAAGUCUGCAGAAGUUGUGUAACAAUGAACUCCAUAAUCCUGGGUAUUAUGUAGUUCAUCAGGUAGAUAUUAUCUGCAAUCGAAAGCCUAAACCAUACUUCUUUCGAACCAUAUCAGCAUAAUAUGUAUAUAUAAACUACUAAAAGUUAUAACCUAUCUUCAUGUUUUGAGUAUCCCUUUAUAAACUUGACUUUUCAAUGUGUUUAAAUUCUAACGGUCAAUUGGCCCAAGUUUGCUGUGUUGCUUCAGUCGCAUACACCCACCCUGCCCAGAACUACAGGGUACUGCGAACGAAAACAGGAAAGUCGAUCCUCGCCUGCGCGCAUCAGUGUAUCUGUGAGUCCCAGUAUCUGAGUAUCUGUGUGCCGGGUAUCUAAAGAGCGCCGCCUGGGCAAAACGGCGUGUGAAAGUAAAGCCGGCCCAGCCGAUGGAGGAGAACAAAUCAAAGUUCUUGAAUGGAGCGGCAGCGGCGGCGAUGGCGACGGCGGCGUUCCAGUUCCAGGAAUCGAUGGCCUUGAAGUAGCCGUUAGGACAUCGGGACGCGCUCAAUUGACUAUUUAGUUUAUAUUUAGCAGCGUCUAAAAGGAUGCCCACAGCGAGUCAGCGAGCUCAAGUGGCCUGCGUCCUGUCUGCCCCGCUCCACAAAUCGCCAGUCGGACUAUCCUUUGUUUGUCUGGGAAUAACUGGAAACUGUUUAUCAUUGUUGUUUCUGCCCCUCAUACAUACGGCUUCACCUCAUUCCGAUUCCAAAUCGGAUUCUUCUGCCGCAGCGACAAAACUGUGUAUGGACUAUAAAAAAAAUGCCCACAUAUACAUACAUGUGAACCAUUUAUUUAAGGAGUUAGUAUUCACAACUCAUCCUUUUGGAGAACAUGAAUUCGGGUUAAUAUGGCCAGUUGAUAUGUGUGGAUUCCUAUAACCAUUUAUGUAAGUAUGAUGAGAAAAUAUUCGAGAUCAGUUUGGGUUCCGAGCUCGUCUAGAAAAUCCUUUGAUGACAUACCGCUUUCGAAGGUGGCAAGCACUUGAUCACGAGAAGAAUUGAAAGGUGUUGACUAGGAUUUGAAUAGGUCAUAUAAGGAGUGUUUAGGUGGGUCAAACAAAGGAAUAUUCCAUCACCUGGUCGAAAAUAUUGGGAAAAUUUACAAAAUUCAGGACACUCAUUACUGAAUCAUCAAAAACUUGAUGCUCUUACUUUUUUCGAAAUCACUUCUAAGAAAGAAUUAUAUUUCCCUAUGGUGCAAACUGGUCAAAUCUAAACAUAAACGGCGGAUUUUCGGCACGAUCAUGACAUAAUCGAAAAAUUAAGUAUACAAAAAGCUACCCCAUCAACAAUACACCACCCACCUCCGCACACACCCCCGCCAACAUCACUCCAAAAGUUUAACGGCGCAAAAAGCGAACACGCAAACUGAAAAACGUCAAAAGAAUGCAAAAAAUAAAGAAGAAAGCAAAAAUUGCGAAGAAAACAACAACAAAAUGAAUGUGGCAGGUAAAUGGAAGCAGAGGAGAAGAGUAGGAGAGGAGAGAACGAAGAUGGCGCGAAGCAAGGUGGAGACGAAGGGGAAGCGAAAGCAAAGCGCCGAGAAAUAUCAAUGAACUCCAUUCUCCACUUGACAGUCUAUCUCGCUCACUCACCGUACAUAGUUACUACUCAGAAAAAUAAUUAUAACCACGAUUUUACAAUAAAUAAAAUUCUAUUAA